GAUGAACGCUAGCGGCAGGCCUAACACAUGCAAGUCGAGGGGGAGGUUACUUUCGGGUAACUGAGACCGGCGUACGGGUGCGUAACGCGUAUACAAUCUGCCUUUCACUGGGGGAUAGCCCGAAGAAAUUUGGAUUAAUACCCCAUAGUAUAGUAAUACGGCAUCGUGAUGCUAUUAAAGCUUAGGUGGUGAAAGAUGAGUAUGCGUUCUAUUAGCUAGUUGGAGAGGUAACGGCUCCCCAAGGCGAUGAUAGAUAGGGGUUCUGAGAGGGAUGUCCCCCACACUGGCACUGAGAUACGGACCAGACUCCUACGGGAGGCAGCAGUGAGGAAUAUUGGACAAUGGUCGGAAGACUGAUCCAGCCAUGCCGCGUGCAGGAUGAAGGUCUUAUGGAUUGUAAACUGCUUUUGUAAGGGAAGAAUAAGGGCUACGCGUAGUUUGAUGACGGUACCUUACGAAUAAGCAUCGGCUAACUCCGUG
rnacentral:rRNA from 1 species